rnacentral:rRNA from 1 species
UGAGGAAUAUUGGACAAUGGGCGCAAGCCUGAUCCAGCCAUGCCGCGUGCAGGAAGAAGCAUCUAUGGUGUGUAAACUGCUUUAGUACGGGAAGAAACACUCCUUCGUGAAGGAGCUUGACGGUACCGUAAGAAUAAGGAUCGGCUAACUCCGUGCCAGCAGCCGCGGUAAUACGGAGGAUCCAAGCGUUAUCCGGAAUCAUUGGGUUUAAAGGGUCCGUAGGCGGUUUAGUAAGUCGGUGGUGAAAGCCCAUCGCUCAACGAUGGAACGGCCAUUGAUACUGCUAGACUUGAAUUAUUGUGAAGUAACUAGAAUAUGUAGUGUAGCGGUGAAACGCUUAGAUAUUACAUAGAAUACCAAUUGCGAAGGCAGGUUACUACUAAUGGAUUGACGCUGAUGGACGAAAGCGUGGGGAGCGAAC